rnacentral:rRNA from 1 species
UUCCUCCUCGUUUAGGAGGUAAGGCCUGCUCACUGAAAAUUAAAGAGCCGCAGUAUUUUGACUGUGCUAAGGUAGCAUAAUCAUUAGUCUUUUAAUUGAAGACUGGUAUGAAUGGCUAAACGAAAAAUAAGCUUUUUUUGUUAUUAUGAUUAAAUUUAUCUUUUAAGUGAAAAGACUUAAAUGCUUCAGAAAGACGAGAAGACCCUAUAGAGUUUCAUACGUACAUUAAUAUAAGCUUUUUAGUUUUUUAUAGUUUACAUUUCAGAUCGUAUUUUGUUGGGGCGACGUUUAGAUAAAAUUAACUCUUAAUAUUUAAAACUUUUAUGGAAGUUUUUUUUGAUCCUUUAAAAGAGAUUAUAAGAAAAAAUUACCUUAGGGAUAACAGCGUAAUCUUUUUUGAGAGUUCAAAUCGACAAAAAGGUUUGCGACCUCGAUGUUGGACUAAAAUUUAGGCAAGGUGCAGCAGUUUUGCUUUAGGGUCUGUUCGACCCUUAAAAUUUUACACGAUCUGAGUUCAGACCG